GUGUUUGCUUGGGCAGCACAUAUACCAAAACUGGAGCAUACAGAGAAGAUUAACAUGGUCCCAGUGCAAGGGUGUCACGCAAAUCUGUGAAGUGUUCUAUAAUUUU